GUGGCUGUGGCGACGGUGUAUUUGCUGGGAUGGGAGAGCCUGAAUGCACCCGCAUUAACCACUCCUGGGGUUUAUUUGUAAUUUUCUUGUCUGGAAGUUUGUGAGAGGGAAGAAGAAAGAUGGAUUGACGUAGCUAGUAUCCUAGACCUUAAGCUGUUUACUAGGAUUGGGACUAGAGUGGCGGGAGGAGAGGGGCAGGAAAAAGAACAGAAGGCAAAGAACAAGUUGGGAAAGCCCACCGUAGGCUCGGGUAUUUUCUAAGCACCGGGACUUCGCUUCCCCGGGAGUUUCAGAAACUCCUUCCUUAACGGAACUGCUGUCGCUCAAAUCCUAAACUCUUCUCGGCCACUGGAGAGGCUUCGAACCCGAGGCCUGGGGGAGCAGGCUCAGGACCAUCCCCACGCCGGCAUUUAGAAAUGACUUCGCUGGCUACUGCAAGUGCCUGCGAUUUUUACUUUCCGUCCACACUGAGCGUCUUGUACUUAAAUUCACUGCGCCCUACAUGCAACAGUGCCUCGCUAAGGGGUCUCUGGGUUAAAAUCUCUUUGCGGUUUUCUGAGCGUGGAGGAAAAAAAAAUCAUCUCCAUGCGCUAGAGUGUGGCUAAUUCCUGGAACCGAGGAGCAGGACGUUCAGAAAGCCCAGCAGGGCUCACAGAUUCCCAUCUUCGAGCUCAAGAAGAAGGACUUUGGAUCCAGUGCAUAGUGAUUAGUUCUUUUAUGUAAUCUCUUGGGAAUAGAUGUGAGAUCUGUGGAGCCCUGGACUCUGCGCGUUUGGGGGUGUAACCGGGGUUCUGCCAGGAAACUUAUUUUCAUUCAUAUGGAAGAUCCUCUCAUAUGACCUCCCAAUGGGACUCCCAGAUAAACUAAUUUAGCAAAUCUCUUAUAACAAAAACAUAUAUUCUUCCACUUUCCCCACCAAAACGUCCCCUUUUAAAGAACAGAGCGAAAAUUCUCAGAGCUGUGCAUCUUGGUUUUAUGAAAAGCUUGUGUCCACUGAGAACUUGCCUGGGGAUCGCUUCUGUCUGUCUGUGUUCCGGGAGGAAAGCAGCUCUUGGUUCCUGUUUGGUAGAACUCAAACGGCCAGCUCUGGUUUCAGAGCCAUCCUGGGUCCCAGCUCUUGCCUGCCUGGCAGCCUGUGAGCAAGGCCUGUCUGUCACUCACAGUAUAGGUAAUUUACAAAUCCCACAAGCCUGGCUCAGCUAUGACUUUCAUAGGGAGUACUUCCCUGGGUCUCUCUCUACUGAGAAAGGGCAAGGGCUGUUUCUUUUGGGGGCUGCAUUCUGAGUCAGAAGUAUAGCUUUACUCUGUCCCCACACCAAACUUCAAUUCAUCAAUCCUGUGCAGUUCAAACCUGCGUCCUUUUCAGCUCCAUAUGUGUGAUGAGUGAAAAAGGAGGUGGGUAGCCCACUCAUCUCCUUUUCCAGCUCAAUGCUGUUUUGUUAAUUGUUGCACUAUAAUUUCUUUCUCUUAAUUUUCAUCCUCAUCUCUCUAGCCACAGUAACAACACUGCUCUCUCCAACUUAGUAUUCAUUUAAUGUGGAGUUUUAAAUUUAAGAGACUAACAUUUCCAAUUCCAGUCCUGUGUCUCGCUGCUUUCUUGUGCCUUCUCAAAGCAGAAGCACCUAUAUCUUGUCAUAAUCCUGAAGCCGGCAAGACCUGAUGUCAGGACCAGCUCCAACGUUCUCUUCAUCUUCGGUGUAUAAUUCCCAUUCUGUCCUGACCUCCACUGUUCCACUGGGGUGCCCCUGCCUGCUCCACCCCUCCCCGGACUCUGCCGCACUUGGUAGCAAACUCCAGCCGCUGAGAAGCCUUUCUCAGAACCUUGCUCAGGCUGUAAUAUAUGUGACUUUUGCUUAGAACUUGGCUUGGGACUUGCUGUGGUCUUUGCCCAGGGACUGAAAACCCGGAAUUUGCCAGUGAAUGUCUCUUCCAACCAAAACAAAAUGAUUGCAGGAGAACUGGGGUGAAGCCCACGUUUUCUGGGUUUGUUUUUAUUUUCCCUUUCUCUCCUGGACCCCACGGUACCUCCAGUUUGGGAGAAUACUGCUGAGCAAACUGGCCUCUUAUUUCAGCCCCCCUGGACAAUCUCUCUUCUACUGAUCUCAAAUAUUUGCCAUGGACCAGCUUUAUUCCACGUGUCCUCGUUGGGCAUUAGAGGCAGGCUGUUUGGGUUUGCAUCCUGGCUCUGUCAUUUAACAGUGUCCUAGGAACACGGUCGUAGGUUUGCACCCGUGCAGUGGGUAGCCUUGGUCAAAUUAAGAUCACUACCCUCUGUUUCCUGCCCCAUAAAAUGUAGCUAAUGGAGAGGAAGCGAGUGCUUAGGAGCAUCCAGCCAGGGAUCCUCUCUGCCUCCUCCUAGCAGUGUGACCACCAUAUGCCUCCAACAGUUUCUUCCUCUGCUCAGCGGGGAUGACAAUAGUUCUUAUUUCAUAGAGCUCUUGAGGGUUAAAAGAGUCGGUAUGUAGGAAGAAUUUAGAAUAGUGGCUGGCAUAUAAGUAGCACAAUGUAAAUGUUAGCUAUUAUGGUUAUUACCUCACAGGGUUGUUGUGAGGAUCAAAUGUUAUAAUAUGGUUAAAAUAUCAUUCUUUUUUAAUCCAUCCAUCUAUCCAUCCAUCCAUUUCUUCACUCACUGUAUAGUACCAUGCUAGGCAACUGUGAAAUACACACUGUUGUUUCUCUCCUUGUUUGCAGGUAGUUAAUCCAACGGAUUAUUUCCUGGGAGUGUGUGAUUGCCUGGAUCAGAGUUGGGGAUGAGGGGAACAGUAUGGGAGCAGGAUAAAAGCAAUACUCGAUCUCGGAGAAUUUCUAACAUUCUAACAGGAAGUCCCAACUAAUAAAGAUAGUUGAAACUAGGGCAGGUUGUGCGUGAGCCAAGUCUCAAUUGUGCCUGCGGGUCCUUUGGGCCAGGGACGAACCAUCUUCACGCGUCUGGGAGGUUCGUGAGCACUGGGGUACCUGGAAGUGGCCUUCUGCUUAGGUGCCAGCUGGUAUUUACGUGGUUGUUUUAUUUGGCUCACAUAGUUGUUUUUUUGAUUGUGUAGACUCCUCUGAGUUGUGCAGAAAACAAAACAAAAUAAUAAAACAGGUGCUUUUUUUGGGGGGCCCUUUGAAAGGUAUAAACCACUUAGGGUGUUUACUUAGGCCUUUUUGCUUUUCUGGCUUUUUUUGCUUUUCACUUUUUUGCAGAUUAUAAAAAUUAAUCAUGGUCAUUACAAUAGAGCAUUCUGUAACCAAACCUAAAGAUUGGGAUGGAAACCCUCCCAUCAGGGUCCUCCCCUCCCGGAGUGUGUCCUGCGGGUCUGGACGCAGACCCUCAUGGCUGCAGCGCCCUGCUCAUAAUGAGUGUUAUAACCAUGUUGUGACCAAAUGUAGUUGCGUGUUUACUGGCAGAAGGCAGAGUGCUCGUGUGAACCACCCUGCUCCCAGUCCUUUGAGAUUAAAACACUUCUUAUGGUUAGAAUCUGGUAAAAGAAUGAAAGUCUGAGCAAAAAUACCUGUAAGCAGUUGUAGUGUAAAAAGGGAGGGACGAUGGCACAGGUACACUGCUGUGAUGUCAGGCCGGCUUCCUCGGGGAGCAUCUGACAGCAAAUGGAGUUGAAGACAUCCACAGAUGCCAGCGGUGGAGGGCGAGGUUUCUGUUUCACCUCGUGUUGAGGGAGCAGACUCGAUUUAAUCUGUCACUUGAUGUCCUUCUCCUCAAAAAUAGUGCCCCGGGCCCUCAGGGACUUUAUUUAGAGGCUCUUAGGAGCUCGGCAGUAUGUAAAUUAUGCGUAAGUGUCCUUCAUAGUUCCCGGUGGUCACAAUCGGAGGGAUUUAAACAUGAUUUAGCAUUUCAGAUGAUUUGUAGGCGUGCUGGAGCCAGCCAGUGCAGUGGGGGUGGCCCACGCUGGGUUUCUCACCACUGCAUUAAAUAGGUUUCUAUGUCUUGGCUGCUUGGCUCUGUGUGUUCUCCUGGCCUUGGAGUUGUUCUAUGAGCGGCCCCCAGUGUUGGUGGGUGGCCUCCCAAGUGUCUUUACUAUAAAACGAAAGGUUUUAUAACUUUAAAAAGAACAAUUCGAUCUAUAGUGACCCUUUACUUCUCAUUCACCCCUUCGUUCAUUCAUUUAACCAACAUUUAUUGAGCACCAGUUGUAUGUCAGUUGGUAUUUUAGACAUGAAGGACAUAAUGGGGAACAAGAUGAGCAUGGUCACUGGGCUUCUGGAGCCCACAUUCUAAUGAAGGGGAUAGACAUUAAAAAAAAAUUCAAUAAAUUCAGAGAACGAUAAAUACUUCAGAGGACAUGAAACUGCAUGAAGUAAUGGAGCGUGACCUGGGUGGGGGCCUGGGCAGGGUAUUAGGGGAAUCAGGGAAGGCCUUUCUGGAAGUGGCCUUUGUGUUGAGAUGUGAGUGAUCAGAAAGUAUCAGCUAUGCCAAGAUUUGGGGACACAGCAUUCUGAGCAAAGGAAAGAGCAGGUGCAACCAUCCUGAGGUGAGAAUGGGCUCGGAGAAUUUUGUUCCUUUUCCUUCUUCCAUUUUCCUCUUCUCUUCGUCGAGAUUCUACUUUCAGGAGGAUUAGGGAAAUUUAAUUUUCUUUUUUUAAAAUCGAGUUUUCCAGUUGAAUGGAUGAAACAAAUGCUGGAAUAUCCACACAAUGGAAUACUACUCAGCCAUAAAAAAGGAAUGAACUGCUGAUACUUACAAUGAUGUGGAUGAAUCUCAAAAGUAUUGUGCUGAGAGAAAGAAGCCAGAACCAAAAGAGAUCAUUCAGUAUCAUUCCAUUUACAUAAAAUUCUAGAAAAUGCAAACCAACCUAGAGAAAGAAAUCAGUGGUUUAGUGGUUGCCUGGGGACAGAGGAGGAGGGAAAGAGAGACUGUUAAGGGACACAAAGGAACUUUUAGGGUUAAUAGAGACGUAUUACCUAGAUUAUAGUGGUGAUUUCAGUCAUAUACAUAUUUCAAAACUGAGCUUGUACACUUUAUGUAUGUGCAGUUCAGUAUACUUCAAUCAUAUCUCUAAGUUGGAAAUUUAGGUUUAUUUUAAAAAAUAUUGGAAAUGGCUGUUAUACAUAACGAAUUUAAAGAGAAAAUUGAAAUUGCCACUGUCCUAUUGGAACCCUAAAAUUUCUCUGGGGCUUGGUCACAUUUGAUCUGGGGACAAGUAUUGGCUUGGGUGGGGAUGAGACUGCGGUUGGCGUCGUCACUUAUGUUGAAGCUGAAAAAAAUAUAAAAUUUUCCUUAUGUUUCUGAGUACUAGCGACUCUUUCUAUUUCUACCCAGACACAAAAAGUCCUUUGAAUGCCAGGUACUAACCUAGACUCGGAAUCGAGGCCCUGUGGGUGGCAAGAGAGAAGGUCACAGCCCCCAGUGGCAGGUGCAUCCAGAUGGGCCUCAGGGUCUAAGGCUGGACCAACACUGCUCAGAACCGCCAAAGUGACUUACGAUUUACUGACUGGGUGACUAUGUUGAAAUGCUGUAGACCACUUAUCAUGAAGGACCAUCUUUGGUGAAGGACCAGUUUUCUUUCCCCCAAUCUGUCAUGGACCAAUACUUUGGUAGAAUACAAUAGAAUAUAUUACUAGAAAAAAAUGGAAUAGAAAACAGUCGCAUAUAAAAUAUAAGCCCAAAAUUUAUUACAGAUUCACCAAACAUAAAAUUACCCUGGCAAACUGCCACAGUGGCUUCUAGAUGUUUACUCUCAAUUUCUCUAGUUUCGGUGUUGCAGAAUGACAACAAGCUGUUCACGGAUGGCACGGGUCCAUGGACCACAGUUUGAGUAGCCCUGGAGUAGUCCAGAACCUCACAGCCAGUGUGGUCACAGUGGGUAGUGGUGUGUGAGGUAUUGGUUCCCCCUAGUGCUCAGGGCAGCUGGGUGGGACCUGGGGCAGCCAGAGCCCCCCUGGGCCAGUUGCCUGCGGUCAUAGGGAGCUGCCUGCUUUUAUCACACUGAGUCACACAGACGUUACAACUGUCUGUGGAAAAGGUUAGGGAGCACCAUAGACUGGUGGUCCUCACACUUUGGUGAGCAUAACAAUUGGGGGAGGGGUUUACUAAAAAUGCAUACUUCCGAACCACAGCUCCAAAGAUUCUAACUCAUUAUCUGUGGAGUGAGAGCUAGGAGUCUGCACUUUUAUCAAUACCCUAGUUACACCAUAGUUGACUGAUGUGUGUGUUCCAAGGAGCUCACUUUGAGAAGCACUCAUGCAGACAUAGUGGGCAUGGGCAGUGCUGGGGAUUUCUCUAUCAGUGUGCACUUACUUCUCUCUACAAGCUGAGUUUAAGACUAGAAAUUAAACAGAGAUGCUGCCAUCAGGGUUCCUGGCUUCAGCAAGAGACACUGUUUAAUUUCAACAGAGAAAUAACCUAUUAAGGGACUUGAGGAGCUCACAGAGUCCUUAGGAGGUGGAGAGAAUCAGGCUCAGCCUGUCUAGAUUCAGUCUCCAGAAUAGCUCCUGAGGAGACAUCAUUAUUGCCACUGGAAACAGUCCCACUGCUGACCCCACAGAAGCUGGGUGUCACAGCAUCUGGGCAUACUGUGGCUCGACUCCUGAGAUGUCCUCAGCAGACUGGAUUCUUUACAGGCCCUGGCUCCUGAGUCAGAUCUUCAGUGAGGGCAUUUGGUGGCAGCUUCAUAGCUGCAAGGGAGGCUGGGAAAAUGGAUGUCUGGCAUUUUCAACUUCUGUCUUAGAGGUGAUCUAAGGCCCCUGAGCUGGAUGAACCAGAAGAAUGUCAGGUGUCCCUGCAGACACUCACAGCUCCCAUCUGAGACUUGCACAGCCAUCUUCUUUUCUGGAGCAUCACAGAAGGCCCACAGAACAUGUGUUGAAGAAGGCCCUGAACUUGCUGUCAGCGUCUAGGGCAAUGCCCGUCUGCUGAGCUCCAUCCUCUGCAUUUGAAUGAGGCCCUGCCUCCUCUGUGGCCCCAGCAGCUCAAUCAGAGGUGUGGGAGAAUCCCUAAGGAGACUCAUCAGGUGCCAUCCACCCUCAGCAGCCCCCUGGAAGGGUCUCAGUACAAAGGGAGGGAGAAGGUAGCUGGUCUUUGUGGCACACUUGCCAGGCCUCCAUCUUCAGGCUGAGCACAGGAUGCACCAUCAGCUCCACGAAUCCCCCAGGAACUCUGUGAAGCGGUUUCUAAUUUUCCCAUUUUACAGAUGAGAAAACUGAGGCUCUUGAGUCAUUUCGCUGGGAUCAGAGCUUUGGAGCUGCUGCAUGCCUAUGCAGGUCUCGUGACAUCUUUAUGGGAAAACUAAACUAAACUAAACUAAAUGGAACUAAAUGGCAACAAAAAGGGUUCCACGUUUUAGGGAGCCCAGCUGAGGCGGGGUCUUGGGGGAGAGCUGUGGAGUCCACAGGAUGAUGUAACCUGUACCUUCAUUUGACUUAAGGUGAUAGGAAGAUAGAGUUGGAGGGAGCAGGUUUGUUAAUCUCAGGAGCUGUGGCUGCUCUGUACCUUUUUAUACAGGUUGUCUUCAAUUGCCUUUGACUUGGAACUGAUGGACCUGAUGGAGAACUUUGAGCAAAGCUGACCCACUGCAGUGAAUUAAACUGUCUCUGGUCCUAGAGGAGUUCAUGCCUGAAGCCAGAGGUCAGUCUGAGUGACUCCCAGCUCCCAAUCCUGCCUUCAGCUGACUCAGUAGUUCAAAUGGGCAGAAACUUCUGUUUCUUCUUUUUGCCCUGAUGAUCGUAGUUGAAAAGUACUGUGGGUGUGGUAGAAAGAGUCAGGAUUUGGUGAAAGGAUGUCUGAGUUAAAACUCUUGCUAUGGUUAUUAGUAGCAGGAUUUCUCCCCAGUCUCUGAAGCUGCUGGAGUUUCAUUUUCCUAGUUUGUAAACCAAGUGACUUCAUCUGUGUAGUCACCUGUCUGGGGGGUGGUGAUGGGCCACCGGGCUGUCAGCUCCACAAGGACAGGACACAUGGUUACCAUUCAAUACACUAUCUGUUAAAUGAAUGAAUCUAGUGCACGGACGGCUGUUUCAGUGCAUCUGUGCCAUCUCAAAUGCUGACGGGUGCUCGCAGCCUCGUGCUGUUUGAUAGAGCGGUGUCUCAGACUUUCGUGCACUCAGUAAUAACCUGGGGAUCUCGCAGAAUGAAGAUUCUGAAUUGGAAGCUCAGGGUGGGGUCUGAGAUUCUGAAUUCCUAACAAGUUCCCGGGUGAUGCUAUUGCUGCUGGUCAUGGACCACUCUGUGUAGUGAGGGUGUAAAUAAGUGGCCAGCAAAAAAACUCCUGUACAAGAUGGGAGUGGGGCCAGGUAGGGGGUUACUUAGGCCAGUGAUCUUCCAACAGGAGCAUGUCUCAGUUCUCCAGCUCAUCCUAUGUCCAGAAACGUCCCCAGUCUGACAUCAUGCCUGCAAAGGAACAAAAAGCACAUGCUUUUUUCCCCCCAUGCAGCAGAGCGCGUGGCCUGGCCGUGGCAUCUCAUGUUUGCCAUAUUUGGUGAAAAUGAUGGCUCUGGCUGCCCAUUACUCUGAAUCACCAGCGCGUGGCACUAGCAUUAGUAACCACUAAUACUUGUCAGACACGGUGCGUGUUGAGCACCCAGCACAUGCUUGCCAUGGGAUAGGCACUCCAGGAAAGGUAGCUGCUGCUGCUGCUGCUGCUGCUGAUUGCUUUAUGAAAUCCUUUCACAUCUCUUCUUGGCAACUUGAUGACAUGGGUAUUACUUGUGCAAGUUCUGGUAUGUUCAUCUCCAGAUCCUGGACCUGCCAGGCUCAUUCCCACUUCUGCACCUUGGCUUGAAGCAGCGGUUUCUCCUGGGGGCGAUUUCCACCCCCGGGACCUUUGGCAGUGUCUGGAGACAUUUUUGGUUGUCAUGACUGAGGGGUGCCACUGGCACCUUAUGCGUGGAGACCAUGAUGCUGCUAAGCAUCCUCCUAUGCGUAGGACAGCUGGCCACAACAAACAAAUAGUUACAGGGCCCAAAAUGUCGAUAGUGUUGAGGUUGGGAAACGCUGGCUCAGAUGAUGCCUCUUCUAGAGAAUGCUCUUCUCAGUUCCACCUGUGAAUAUUCUCCAGGUCUCUAAACUGACUUUGGAGUAGAAAAGUCUCGUGAUAUUAUUUUCUUAACUUUUAAGGCAUAUUGCCUCUUAGUGCUGUGGGUUCAAACAAAGGCCAGUGAGAACGUCCCUGCCGUCCCCACCCCCGAGCCCUCUGCCUUUGUAGUAAGGGUGUGUGGGUUGGGGAGAUUUUGUUUUCCCAUAUGAUAUAUGCAGGGAGGAAGGGAGAAAAGGGCCCCGGUGGGUAUGUGCCUCUGUCUUCUAUUUCAG
rnacentral:lncRNA from 1 species